rnacentral:rRNA from 1 species
AACGAACGCUGGCGGCAUGCCUAACACAUGCAAGUCGAACGAGACCUUAGGGUCUAGUGGCGCACGGGUGCGUAACGCGGGGGAACCUGCCCUUAGGUUCGGAAUAACUCCCCGAAAGGGGUGCUAAUACCGGAUAAUGUCUUCGGACCAAAGAUUUAUCGCCCUUGGAUGGGCCCGCGUUGGAUUAGCUAGUUGGUAGGGUAAAAGCCUACCAAGGCGACGAUCCAUAGCGGGUCUGAGAGGAUGAGCAGCCACACUGGGACUGAGACACGGCCCAGACUCCUACGGGAGGCAGCAGUGGGGAAUAUUGGACAAUGGGCGAAAGCCUGAUCCAGCUCUGCCGCUUGAGUGAUGAAGGUCUUAGGGUUGUAAAGCUCUUUUACCCGGGAUGAUAAUGACAGUACCGGGAGAAUAAGCUCCGGCUAACUCCGUG